rnacentral:misc_RNA from 1 species
GAUGAAGAACGUAGCGAAAUGCGAUAAGUAAUGUGAAUUGCAGAAUUCAGUGAAUCAUCGAAUCUUUGAACGCACAUUGCGCCCCCUGGUAUUCCGGGGGGCAUGCCUGUUCGAGCGUCAUUUCACCACUCAAGCCUCGCUUGGUAUUGGGCAACGCGGUCCGCCGCGUGCCUCAAAUCGACCGGCUGGUUCUUCUGUCCCCUAAGCGUUGUGGAAACUAUUCGCUAAAGGGUGUUCGGGAGGCUACGCCGUAAAACAACCCCAUUUCUAAGGUUGACCUCGGAUCAGGUAGGGAUACCCGCUGAACUUAAGCAUAUCAAUAAGCGGAGGA